rnacentral:misc_RNA from 1 species
GUGAAUCAUCAAAUUUUUGAACGCAAAUUGCACUCUCUGGUAAUCCGGAGAGUAUGCCUGUUUGAGGGUCAGUUUAAAUAAAAAUCGGUGUGGUUGUUGCAUUUCGUGGUGACGUACCGGAUUUGGGUCGUAUUACCUUCGGUUAAGUAAAUUAAUAUUUAGCAUGAUUUUUUUCGAAAGAAUUAAAAUGAUUUUAUGUUCGUUUGCGUUAUAGAAUAUUAGGUUAGGACAUCCUAAUGA